AGCAUAUCAAUAAGCGGAGGAAAAGAAACCAACAGGGAUUGCCCUAGUAACGGCGAGUGAAGCGGCAAGAGCUCAAAUUUGAAAGCUGGCCCCCUCGGGGCCCGCAUUGUAAUUUGCAGAGGAUGCUUCGGGAGCGGCCCCCGUCUAAGUGCCCUGGAACGGGCCGUCAUAGAGGGUGAGAAUCCCGUCUGGGAUGGGGUGUCCGCGCCCGUGUGAAGCUCCUUCGACGAGUCGAGUUGUUUGGGAAUGCAGCUCUAAAUGGGUGGUAAAUUUCAUCUAAAGCUAAAUAUUGGCCGGAGACCGAUAGCGCACAAGUAGAGUGAUCGAAAGAUGAAAAGCACUUUGAAAAGAGAGUUAAAAAGCACGUGAAAUUGUUGAAAGGGAAGCGCUUGCGACCAGACUCGCUCGCGGGGUUCAGCCGGCAUUCGUGCCGGUGUACUUCCCCGCGGGCGGGCCAGCGUCGGUUUGGGCGGCCGGUCAAAGGCCCUCGGAAUGUAACGCCCCCCGGGGCGCCUUAUAGCCGAGGGUGCCAUGCGGCCUGCCCGGACCGAGGAACGCGCUUCGGCUCGGACGCUGGCAUAAUGGUCGUAAACGACCCGUCUUGAAACACGGACCAAGGAGUCUAACAUCUACGCGAGUGUUCGGGUGUCAAACCCGUGCGCGCAGUGAAAGCGAACGGAGGUGGGAGCCCGCAAGGGUGCACCAUCGACCGAUCCUGAUGUCUUCGGAUGGAUUUGAGUAAGAGCGUAGCUGUUGGGACCCGAAAGAUGGUGAACUAUGCCUGAAUAGGGCGAAGCCAGAGGAAACUCUGGUGGAGGCUCGCAGCGGUUCUGACGUGCAAAUCGAUCGUCAAAUUUGGGUAUAGGGGCGAAAGACUAAUCGAACCAUCUAGUAGCUGGUUCCUGCCGAAGU
rnacentral:rRNA from 1 species